UACGUAGGAGGCAAGCGUUGUCCGGAAUUACUGGGCGUAAAGCGCGUGUAGGUGGUGGGACAAGUCUGCUGUGAAAGCGCCUGGCUUAACCGGGCGAGGUCGGCGGAAACUGUCCGACUCGAGGACGGUAGAGGGGGGUGGAAUUCCCGGUGUAGUGGUGAAAUGCGUAGAGAUCGGGAGGAACACCUGUGGCGAAGGCGGCCCCCUGGGCCGGCCCUGACACUGAGACGCGAAGGCGUGGGGAGCGGACGGG
rnacentral:rRNA from 1 species